rnacentral:rRNA from 1 species
AUUGAACGCUAGCGGGAUGCCUUACACAUGCAAGUCGAACGGAGUGGCGAACGGGUGAGUAAUGUAUCGGAACGUGCCCAGUAGCGGGGGAUAACUACGCGAAAGCGUAGCUAAUACCGCAUACUAUUGGAGCGGCCGAUAUCGGAUACGGUAGUUGGUGGGGUAACGGCUCACAAAGGCGACGAUCCGUAGCGGGUUUGAGAGGACGACCAGCCACACGGGGACGGGGACCCGGCCCAGACUCUUACGGGAGGAAGAAGUGGGGAAUUUUGGACAAUGGGGGAAGCCCUGAUCAAGCCAUCCGGCGUGUGCGAUGAAGGCCUUGGGGUUGUAAAGCACUUUUGGCAGGAAAGCGGUACCUGCAGAAUAAGCACCGGCUAACUACGUGCCAGCUGCCGCGGUAAUUC